rnacentral:rRNA from 1 species
CCUACGGGUGGCUGCAGGGAGGAAUAUUGGUCAAUGGACGGAAGUCUGAACCAGCCAUGCCGCGUGCAGGAAGACGGCUCUAUGAGUUGUAAACUGCUUUUGUACAAGGGUAAACCUGAAUACGUGUAUUCAGCUGAAAGUACUGUACGAAUAAGGAUCGGCUAACUCCGUGCCAGCAGCCGCGGUAAUACGGAGGAUCCAAGCGUUAUCCGGAUUUAUUGGGUUUAAAGGGUGCGUAGGCGGUCUGAUAAGUUAGAGGUGAAAUUCUCGGGCUUAACUCGGGAACUGCCUCUAAUACUGUUGAUCGAGAGAGUAGUUGCGGUAGGCGGAAUGUAUGGUGUAGCGGUGAAAUGCUUAGAGAUCAUACAGAACACCGAUUGUGAAGGCAGCUUACCAAUCUAUAUCUGACGUUGAGGCACGAAAGCGUGGGGAGCAAACAGGAUUAGAUACCCUGGUAGUC